AUAUCAAUAAGCGGAGGAAAAGAAACCAACAGGGAUUGCCCCAGUAACGGCGAGUGAAGCGGCAACAGCUCAAAUUUGAAAUCUGGCUCUCGGGCCCGAGUUGUAAUUUGUAGAGGAUGCUUUUGGUGAGGUGCCUUCCGAGUUCCCUGGAACGGGACGCCAUAGAGGGUGAGAGCCCCGUCUGGUUGGACACCGACCCUCUGUAAAGCUCCUUCGACGAGUCGAGUAGUUUGGGAAUGCUGCUCUAAAUGGGAGGUAUAUGUCUUCUAAAGCUAAAUACCGGCCAGAGACCGAUAGCGCACAAGUAGAGUGAUCGAAAGACGAAAAGAACUUUGAAAAGAGAGUUAAAAAGUAC
rnacentral:rRNA from 1 species